GGCUGUUUUUAGGCGAUCGCCACCGAGCUAGAAGCUGAAAUGAGGUCACGCUAAAUCAACCAAUAAGCACGUUUGAUUUCAUCUGCCCCGUAUCAAUAAAUAAUACACGAUACGAGAUAUGAAACAUGGCCAGUAGUCAAAGUGCAGGCAGCCAGUUGAAUGGUGAAUUUACGCUACUGUGUUAAACUCAUUUAUUUGUGAAUGUGACUUUGAAAGAGUCAGUGCCUCCCAGCCGGACCUCACCGCACGUCACGGCAGCCAUUGUGUUGUGAAUGAAGAAACGUAGACGGAUAAUUGCGUCGAGUUACGGAAGCAGUAAAGUUCGCUGAGCUGGGAACUGCGGUCGUGACCGGCCAGCCGGCAGCGGCACGUGCCCAACGUCAGCGGACAUUUCCUAGUUGGUGGAAGACGGAACUGAACGAUCUCGAAGGAAGAACCACCUGAAAGGCAACAUUUCGUAGCACCUAAAGCAGCGAUGCUAGAUGAAUCCCAUCCCAAGUUGUGGUUGCACGUCACAACACAGUUUGCCCUGGACAGUGCCCUAAGUUUACCACGGAGCAGCGGCAGUGAUGCACUGGCAGCCGGAAUCACUCUUUCAGCUCUGACAAGGAUUUGCCGUUUGGGUCCCUACAUGAUGAAUGGAGCGUAGAAAUGGCCUCAUUAUUGCGCGGAUGAGCAUGGAGAUGGACAUGGAGGGGCUGGGGGAAGUCCCGGUGGUGUUACAG
ensembl:lncRNA